AAGGAGAGCAUUUCUGGGGGAGGCUUUAAAAAGCAGUUGUGGACCAGGGUUAGAGUUGGUUCGCUGUGGCUUUUCGAGAAACCCUUGCGCCAUUAUUUGAGGAACAGCAACUCUGGCUCCAGUUAAGAUCUGUUUUCCAGUUAGCCUGGGGUUUCAGUUGCCAGUGCCAAAAGGCAGUCAGGAAGCAGAUCGUCCUGAUUUAUGGCCAGAAGGUCAAUAGCCUAAAGCUAUCUCACAAUGCCUCUGUCAGUCACUUCUCUUCAUCUCAUCGUGUAGGCAGUAUCUCAUCUCACAUCAUCGCAGGAAGGGUGAUUCUCUACUCAUCGUGGAGAUGGGGAAUGAGGUCACAGUGAAGCUGGACUUUCCUUGGUCAGACUGUGCUUCUUUGUGGGACCCACAGAGAUCUCGUCGUCAUCUUCAUUCCAAGGAACUGAGCUCCAGGAUAUGUCAUAAAAAGAAGCCCCUUAUGGUAUAGAAAACCAAAGAUCCAUGUAGAACAGUGGAUGGAGGGACUCCAGGAUAGAGGGCUCUCUGCAAAUACAGGAGAUAGUUAUGGUAUUCAAGGUAAAUAUAAACAAAUCUAUGAAUACACACACAAGCAACCAAAGUAACACAGGGAAUAAAGACUUAGUAGUGUAAAGUGGAAAACCGUUCACAUAUAUUUAAUGCAAAAGCAUUUCCUUCUGAAUGUAAAUCCUUAGAGACAAGGAAACAGUCAUCUUUAAUUGAAAAAUGGGAUAUCCUCUGUUGGAUGUGGAGGAAUUGAAGAUCUUAAUUAGUCUCUUCCUUUGUGAAUUUGAUACUCAUGGAGAGAGAGAGAGAGAGAGAGAGAGAGAGAGAGAGAGAGAGAGAAACAGAGUCCAUUUCUGGGUUCCCUGAAGCUGUAAAAGUGUCAGAAUUACAGAAAUGAGCAAAUACAAAAAGCAGCAGGAUUAUAAUGGUAGGUACCAGGGACUAGGGCAUUUAGGAACAAAAAACAGAAUGGAAGGAAAAGAUAUGAAUGUCUUAGUUGAUUAUACUCAACAACACGAGUGUGAAGUUAUUCUGUUACUAGAAUUACACAUAAGCAUAGAAUGUUGGACGAGGAAGUGGGGGUGUCUUCCUUCUGAUAUCCUCAGAUGCAGGUCUUUUGCAGAGUUGUGAUAUACUAAGCACACAGCUGUAGCUUUAGCCUGAGUUAAGCCAAGUAACUUUGGGCAACUUAAUCACUCUGUGCCUCAAUCUCUCCAUAUGUAAAACGAGUGUAAUAACAGUACCCGUUCAUAGAGUUUUAGGAGAAUUACAUGAAUAAAGCACUUAGAACAGCC